rnacentral:rRNA from 1 species
UUCGGGGUGGAAUAGUGGCGAACGGGUGAGUAAAGUGGGCAAUCUGCCCUUCACUCUGGGACAAGCCCUGGAAACGGGGUCUAAUACCGGAUAUGACCGUCUUGGGCAUCCUUGACGGUGUAAAGCUCCGGCGGUGAAGGAUGAGCCCGCGGCCUAUCAGCUUGUUGGUGAGGUAAUGGCUCACCAAGGCGACGACGGGUAGCCGGCCUGAGAGGGCGACCGGCCACACUGGGACUGAGACACGGCCCAGACUCCUACGGGAGGCAGGAGUGGGGAAUAUUGCACAAUGGGCGAAAGCCUGAUGCAGCGACGCCGCGUGAGGGAUGACGGCCUUCGGGUUGUAAACCUCUUUCAGCAGGGAAGAAGCGCAAGUGACGGUACCUGCAGAAGAAGCGCCGGCUAACUACGUGCCAGCAGCCGCGGUAAUACGUAGGGCGCAAGCGUUGUCCGGAAUUAUUGGGCGUAAAGAGCUCGUAGGCGGCUUGUCACGUCGGGUGUGAAAGCCCGGGGCUUAACCUC